GAUGAAGAACGUAGCGAAAUGCGAUAAGUAAUGUGAAUUGCAGAAUUCAGUGAAUCAUCGAAUCUUUGAACGCACCUUGCGCUCCUUGGUAUUCCGAGGAGCAUGCCUGUUUGAGUGUCAUUAAAUUCUCAACCUUUCCAGCUUUUGCGAGUUUGGAUUGGCUUGGAUGUGGAGGUUUGCAGGCUUCUCAGAAGUCAGCUCCUCUUAAAUGCAUUAGCGGAACCUUUGUGGACCAGCUUUGGUGUGAUAAUUAUCUAUGCCAUGGUUGUGAAGCAGUUUUUAUAUGGGGUUCAACUUCUAACAGUCCAUUGACUUGGACAAUUUCUGACAUUUUGACCUCAAAUCAGGUAGGACUACCCGCUGAACUUAAGCAUAUCAAUAAGCGGAGGA
rnacentral:misc_RNA from 1 species